AAUAUCCAACAGUAAGAGCUGCCAGAGUACUAAAGAAACAUUGAGUUAUCCGAGUCUUAUUGAAAAAGGGAUCAACAUUGCUAAAUAUUCUAACUACCAUCAUGUUGUGACAAGAUUAAUAAAACGUGCCCGCAAGGUACUAAGGCCCAAUUUCCACUAUCAAUAAAAACUUUUAGCAAAUCAAUUGCAUCUUGGAAGGUCUGCAUUCGAAGCUAUGGUGAGUUUUUUGAGCGGCAGCUUGAAAUAUGUCUCAUCAAGCAACGCAGGAAAUGGAGAGCAAUGCACAAACCCACCUGUAUGCUCAAAACGGAACUCUGGAUUUUUUGGGCCAGCCUGCUCUGAAGAAGGAAACUGGAAACUGGACCGGAGCGAUCCCUAUGAUCUGUCAAGUUUCUCCAACUGUUUGCAAAGCUUUCAGUGUCUUGACUUUGCUAGUGUGUUGCAGUCAUCCAAGUAGUUGCGACGGUCAUCUUCUUCGGCAUAAUCUCCAACCUGCUGACAUGUUAUGCAUCGAGAUGUUUCUCAAUCCGCAAGUGACGCUAACAAUUUGCAGGGCACUUACUUUCUCUCCUCAGUUCUUGGGGCUUUUCUCUCCGACACAUACUGGGGCCGCUACAGGACGCUGCUGUACUCUUUCGUGCUCUAUGGCGUGGUGAGUACUUGAAAUUCUAUCUGCAAAAGUAGCUUUACCAACACCAAUCCAAAAACAAAAACUGAAAAACUUACCAGGGAUUGACAUGCAACACCAUCUCCGCAUCCCUCAAGAACUUGCGGCUUACAAGCUGCCCGGCUCAAAGCCCCACUUGCCAGCAAGCAUCGCCCGGGCUGAAUGCUUUCCUCUUCCUCUCGCUCUACGCACUUCGCAGGUGGAAGCUACCACCUCAUUCGUGUCCUUCGGAGCCGACCAGUUUGACAACUUCAUCGUCUGGGGCAUUCACAUCGGAGGCUUGGUUUCCGUCACCAUGAUCGUAUACAUUGAAGAUCACGUCGGUUUCUCGUGGGGAUUUGGCCUUCUCGGCCUUAUCCUUGCGGUAUCCAUAGCUCUGUUCCUCAUCCAGACCACCAGAUACCGGUACCGUAGGCCCGAAGGAAGCCCCCUUACGAAAAUGGUGCAAGUCACGGUAGCAGCUUUCAGCAAGCGUAACGUCGUUGCACCAUCCCUGAAGAACAGUCGAUUGCCAAAGGGAAAAGACACAUUCCACACACUAACCAGUUCCGGUGAGUGACUGUAGCUCUCGACUUUUCCCUGUUCUUAGCUUCGUUCGUGACAAGGCAGCACUGAAGCUCGAUACCGACAUGGAGAUGGAGUCUUCCACGACGAAAACCAGCCCCUGGAAGCUUUCCACCGUGACCCGAGUCGAGGAAGUCAAGCUCGUCAUACGAAUGCUCCCAAUCUGGUUGGCAACGCUCUGGUUUAGCAUUGCUCCAUCUCAGUCCGCCACCUUCCUCCGCCAAGGAAUGGCUAUGGACAACCGGCUUGGAAGCACCAUCCCGCCAGCAACCUCACCGUGGUCCUCUUCCUCCCACUCUACGACCGUAUCAUCGUCCCAACCAUAAGAAAGUUCUCCGGGAACGAGCGUGGCAUCACCUUGCUCCAGAGAAGCGGGCUGGGAAUCUUCAUCGCCGCCAUCGGCCUGGGCAUCGCAGCGCUGAUGGAAAUCAAGAGAAAAGCCUGGAUGAAUCCCACCACCACCGUCACGAUCUUCUGGCUGGUGCCGCACUACGUGGUGCUGGGCAUAGCGGAGGGCCUCACAAACUCAAGCCAGCUGGAAUUCUUCCACGAGCAAUCGCCCGACACCUUCCACAGCCUGGGCACGUCCCUGGCGCUCGCGAACCUGGGUGUGGGGAGCUUCUUGAGCAUUCCCUGCGUCAAUCGCGCGGCGCCGUCGUGGCUCCGGAACGGUGUGAAUUCCGGGCAUCUGGAGCGCUACUACUGGCUGAUCUUGGGGCUGAGCCUCGUGAAUCUGGCGAUCUUUGUGCCGGUCGCGCGCUGGUACUCGUACAAGAGCCCUGAUCCCUAAGCUCUAAGAACCCUAAAAUGCCC
rnacentral:lncRNA from 1 species